GCCAAAUAACUAGCUUUAAUUCCUAAAACAACCUAACAACAUUAAAAACUUUAUCAACUAAAAAAAAUAACCAAAACAUUCUUCCGCCCUAGUAUGAGUGACAAAAAAGGCUACAUAAAGCAAUAAAAAAGUACCGCAAGGGAAAGUUGAAAGAGAAAUGAAACAAACCAUUUAAGCCAGACAAAGCAGAGAUUAAAUCUCGUACCUCUUGCAUCAUGAUUUAGCCAGUCAUCCUGAGCAAAGAGCACUUUAGUUCACACCCCCGAAACUAGGUGAGCUACCUCGAGACAGCCUAUCAUAGGGCCAACCCGUCUCUGUGGCAAAAGAGUGGGAAGAUCUCCAGGUAGGGGUGACAGACCUACCGAACCUAGUUAUAGCUGGUUGCCUAAGAAAUGGAUAGAAGUUCAGCCUCGCACUCCUCAACUCACCGAAAGACCACUCACUAAUGAAACUAAGAAAUGUGCGAGAGUUAGUCAGAGGGGGUACAGCCCCUCUGAAAUGGGAUACAACCCCACCAGGAGGUUAAAGAUUAUACUAAACAAAACCCUCGCCUUAGUGGGCCUAAAAGCAGCCACCUAAAUAGAAAGCGUUAAAGCUCGAGCAACACACAGUUCAUUAUCCAAAUAGAUAUAUCUUACACCCCUAACCAUAUUAGGCCUUUCUAUGCCAUCAUAGAAGUGAUACUGCUAAAAUGAGUAAUAAGAAGGAUAUGCCCUUCUCCCGGCCCACGUGUAAGCUAGAUCGGACCAACCACUAGUCAUUAACGAACCCACCCAAAGAGGGCCACUGUGACUCACACAAUAACCAAGAAAAAAUCACAACCCGCUACCGUUAACCCCACACUGGAAGGCCAACAAGGAAAGACUAAAAGAUAAAGGAAGGAACUCGGCAAACACAAGCCUCGCCUGUUUACCAAAAAACAUCGCCUCCUGCAAACUUUCAAUACAUAGGAGGUCUUGCCUGCCCAGUGACUACAAGUUAAACGGCCGCGGUAUUUUUGACCGUGCCAAAGGUAGCGCAAUCACUUGUCUUUUUAAAUGAAGACCUGUAUGAAUGGUGAAACGAGGGCUUAACUGUCUCCCUACUCUAGUCAAUGAAAUUGAUCUGCCAGWGCAGAAGCGGGCAUAACGAUACAAGACGAGAAGACCCUUUGGAGCUUAAGACACAAGGCCAACUAUGUUAAAAGUCCCAGAAAAGAGACUAAACCGAAUAGCACUGACCCUAAUCUUCGGUUGGGGCGACCACGGGAGAAAAUAAAGCUCCCAUGCAGACUGGGAAAACCCCUAAAACUAAGAGAGACAUCUCUAAGGCACAGAACAUCUGACUUCAAAGAUCCGGUUAAUACCGACCAACGAACCAAGUUACCCUAGGGAUAACAGCGCAAUCCCCUUUCAGAGUCCAUAUCGACAAGGGGGUUWACGA
rnacentral:rRNA from 1 species